rnacentral:rRNA from 1 species
GACGAACGCUGGCGGCGUGCCUAACACAUGCAAGUCGAACGAAGCGGCGAACGGGUGAGUAAUACGUGGGUAACCUGCCCUCCUUUUUGGGAUAAGCCUUGGAAACGGGGUCUAAUACCGAAUAAAGGGGGAUGGGCUCGGGGCCUAUCAGCUUGUUGGUGGGGUGAUGGACUACCAAGGCGGUGACGGGUCGCCGGCCUGAGAGGGUGAACGGGCACUGUGGGACGGAGAUACGGCCCAGGCGCGUACGGGGGGCAGCAGUGGGGGAUAUUGCACAAUGGGCGAAAGCCUGAUGGAGCGGCGCGGCGGGGGGGAUGAGGGCUUGCGGGUUGUAAACCUCUUUCGCUAGCGAACGGGUAGGUGGAGAAGAAGCGCCGGCUAACUACGUGCCAGCCGCCGCGGUAAUAC